rnacentral:piRNA from 1 species
UCACUGAUGACAAACUGUGGGUAGUG